rnacentral:rRNA from 1 species
AGAGUUUGAUCCUGGCUCAGAGCGAACGCUGGCGGCAGGCCUAACACAUGCAAGUCGAACGAACUCUUCGGAGUUAGUGGCGGACGGGUGAGUAACACGUGGGAACGUGCCUUUAGGUUCGGAAUAACUCAGGGAAACUUGUGCUAAUACCGAAUGUGCCCUUCGGGGGAAAGAUUUAUCGCCUUUAGAGCGGCCCGCGUCUGAUUAGCUUGUUGGUGGGGUAAUGGCCCACCAAGGCUACGAUCAGUAGCUGGUCUGAGAGGAUGACCAGCCACAUUGGGACUGAGACACGGCCCAAACUCCUACGGGAGGCAGCAGUGGGGAAUCUUGCGCAAUGGGCGAAAGCCUGACGCAGCCAUGCCGCGUGUAUGAUGAAGGUCUUAGGAUUGUAAAAUACUUUCACCGGUGGAAGAUAAUGACUGUAGCCGGAGAGAG